ensembl:miRNA
GUGGAGCGACGGCCUGUUGCUGCCCGUGGAUCCUGAGUGAAGCACAGGCUGUAAUUCCACUGAG